rnacentral:rRNA from 1 species
GCAGCCGCGGUAAUACGGAGGGUGCGAGCGUUAAUCGGAAUUACUGGGCGUAAAGGGUGCGUAGGUGGUUNAAUAAGUUAUCUGUGAAAUCCCUGGGCUCAACCUGGGAAGGUCAGAUAAGACUGUUUGACUCGAGUAUGGGAGAGGGUAGUGGAAUUUCCGGUGUAGCGGUGAAAUGCGUAGAGAUCGGAAGGAACACCAGUGGCGAAGGCGGCUACCUGGCCUAAUACUGACACUGAAGCACGAAAGCGUGGGGAGCAAACAGGAUUAGAUACCCUGGUAGUCCACGCCGUAAACGAUGUCAACUAGCUGUUGGAA